rnacentral:rRNA from 1 species
UGGGGAAUUUUGGUCAAUGGGCGCAAGCCUGAACCAGCCGUGCCGCGUGCAGGAUGAAGCAUCUAUGUUGUUUAAACUGCCUUUGUACGGGAAGAAACCACCCCUCGUGAGGGGUAUUGACGGUACCGUAAGAAUAAUUAUCUGCUAACUCCGUGCCAGCAGCCGCAGUAAUACGUAGGAUCCAAGCGUUAUCCGUAAUCAUUGGGUUUAAAGGGUCCGUAGGCGGUUCUGUAAGUCAGUGGUGAAAUCUCCCCGCUCAACGGGGAAACUGCCAUUGAUACUGCAGGUCUUGAAUUAUUGGUAAGUAACUAGAAUAUGUAGUGUAGCGGUGAAAUGAUUAGUGAUUACAUGGAAUACCGAUUGCGAAGGCAGGUUACUACCAAUGGAUUGACGCUGAUGGACGAAAGCGUGGGUAGCGAACA